rnacentral:rRNA from 1 species
AUGAUUGAAGAUGGGUCUAAUAUGCCUAAAGACUUUUGCAUUCCUGAUCAGCCAAAUAUUCCAGCAAGCAGUGAACACCACCUCAACAAAGAAAGGCUUGUUGAAAUCCUUUUUGGCAUUGACUACAAUUUCAGUCAUGUUGGUACCUUGAGACCAAUCAAUCUGAAGGCAAAAACCUUUAGUUUCAAGGACAGCAAAGUUGUGGCACCAAGUCGAACUUGCCGCUGCACCAUCUUCACCAAGUCGAACUUGCUAGAACUUGCUGUUGCUCAACUUGAUCUCUCGGGUAGCUCAUCCAGCAAGACUGCUGAAAUGCGGCCAAAUCCCGACGCCGCUCGUGAUCUCCGCCUCCAUCAGCUCCACUUCACCAAAGCUAUCGGUCCAAAUGAGGAGCACGAGGGAGGUUGGACGGACUGCAAGAAAGAAAAGCUCAGUUCUACAGACAACCCCCGCCACCCACACGGACUACUUCCUCUGGUCCUCAUCCAGAUCAUGAAAGUUGAGAAGUCAAGGUGCCUAGAACCUGCUUGA